rnacentral:misc_RNA from 1 species
GGGGGGAUGGGUGCUGGAUGUGGAAAAACUUGAGAUGCUUGAUUGCUUGUUGAGUGCUUGUUGCGCCCCCUUCUAGCAAGCUUUCAAGAAUCAUCUUGUCUCAUGCUGUGAGAUGGAUGGUUGUGGCAUGAAUAGUUGUGACAUCGUUGGGCUUUGCUUGGCGAUGGAACAACAUCGACGGAGCUAGCUUUGGUGUUUUCGUAUCGUUCGGUGCAUUUUGGGAGCUACGUGCGUUUGUAGUUGUAUGCUUUGCAUUUGUGCUUGGUGUAUGGCUACUUGUGUGGUAGUUUCAAAAAAUGAUUAUCGUAAAGGUGCGUGAGUGGUGUUUGGUGUGUUGCUGGUGGUUGGAUGACUGCAAUUGCAGCAACGUCCACUGGGGCAUGCCUUUUCAUUUACGGCGAAAGGUUGUUCUUCAACCCGGAGCAUUUGUUUGGGUUUUCCUGUGCUGCGUACCUACUUUAGGGUAUGUUGUUGUUUGGUUAUUGUGAUUUUUCAUUCUACGUCACUCGCGUGGCGUGGGGUGAACCAUAAUUGGCCUCUCUAUGAUCCGUGUCUUUGAUGCAUUGUGUCCUUGGCAUGGCCCAUUGAGCGUGGCUUGGUUUCAUGGAUACAGAACCUUAUGUGGGUAUGGGGUCUCUUCGGACCUUGUGUUUGCCCUCAUCAAGCGUUCUUGCUUCUAAGAAACAACCUGCGAUCGUGCAUGGACUUGUUUUGU